rnacentral:rRNA from 1 species
AUUGAACGCUGGCGGCAGGCCUAACACAUGCAAGUCGAACGAGUGGCGGACGGGUGAGUAAUGUAUGGGAAACUGCCCGAUGGAGGGGGAUAACUACUGGAAACGGUAGCUAAUACCGCAUACCCUCGGAUGUGCCCAGAUGGGAUUAGCUAGUAGGUGGGGUAACGGCUCACAAAGGCGACGCUCCCUAGCUGGUCUGAGAGGAUGACCAGCCACACUGGAACUGAGACACGGUCCAGACGCCUACGGGAGGCAGCAGUGGGGAAUAUGGCGCAAUGGGCGAAAGCCUGAUGCAGCCAUGCCGCGUGUAUGAAGAAGGCCUUCGGGUUGUAAAGCACUUUCAGCGAGGAGGCGUUACUCGCAGAGGAAGCAACGGCUAACUCCGUGCCAGCAGCCGCGGUAAUAC